CCUACGGGAGGCAGCAGUGGGGAAUAUUGGACAAUGGGCGAAAGCCUGAUCCAGCCAUGCCGCGUGUGUGAAGAAGGUCUUCGGAUUGUAAAGCACUUUAAGUUGGGAGGAAGGGUUGUAGAUUAAUACUCUGCAAUUUUGACGUUACCGACAGAAUAAGCACCGGCUAACUCUGUGCCAGCAGCCGCGGUAAUACAGAGGGUGCAAGCGUUAAUCGGAAUUACUGGGCGUAAAGCGCGCGUAGGUGGUUUGUUAAGUUGGAUGUGAAAUCCCCGGGCUCAACCUGGGAACUGCAUUCAAAACUGACUGACUAGAGUAUGGUAGAGGGUGGUGGAAUUUCCUGUGUAGCGGUGAAAUGCGUAGAUAUAGGAAGGAACACCAGUGGCGAAGGCGACCACCUGGACUAAUACUGACACUGAGGUGCGAAAGCGUGGGGAGCAAACAGGAUUAGAUACCCUGGUAGUCCACGCCGUAAACGAUGUCAACUAGCCGUUAGGAAGUCCUUGUAGUCGUUUAGUUGGUCGCGAGCGUACGACAUUAAGUUAGUACCGCCGUCGGGGAGGUACGGCCGGCCGAACGGUUAAACGUAACGAAAGGAAAGUUAGUACGGCGUGAGACGUAGCCGACGGACGACGACGAGGGAGGUUAGGG
rnacentral:rRNA from 1 species